CCUCUCCCUGCCUCCUUCAACAGGGUUUCCCCUUCAGGCCUCCGGGGUCCCCUCCCCAUACCUGAGCUCGGAACGGGGCCAGGCCUGACUGAGGAGAGCAAAGCCCAGGACAGCAUCCUGCUGCUGCCCGGCCCUUCUGUGCUCGGGAGCCCCGGGAGCCGCACUCAUCACCAUCUCUUUUGUUUUUCCAUCCUCCUUCUGUUUGCAUUUCUUCCCCCACCCUCACCCCGGUCCAUUCCGCCUCCCAUCUCCAUCCCCGCUCCCGCCCGCAGCUGGCCUCCUCCCGCUACCCCCCAUUCCCUUCUGACUACCUGGCCCUGCAGCUGCCCGAGCCCAGUCCCCUGAGGCCCAAGCGGGAGAAACGGCCCCGCCUGCCCCGGAAACUCAAGAUGUUCAGCGAUGCAGGUAGCGGGGACGAUGCCUUGGAUGGAGACGAUGACCUGGUGAUCGACAUCCCGGAGUGACCGUGACAUCACGCCAUGCCCACCACGGCCCCGCCCGGCGCCCUCCCCGUGCCAGCACACACGAGUCCAGCUUCCUCGGAGGUGUUUAUUGAUGCCCAGCUGCCAUGCUCCGGCCACUGACACAACCAGAAAAGGCGUAAACAUGCACGGGUGUCCCCCAGGAGGGUGGCAGGGGCCCUGCCUUCAAACCCCGGCCCCCUCCAGGGGACAGUUAUUUAAACGAGUGGCCGGGAGCAUCUGCCACCUGCUGGGGAGGCAGAGACCCUGCAAUGGCC
rnacentral:lncRNA from 1 species